CUUGGCAUGACGGGGUUUGAGAAGGGAUGCGAAGCGAAGCAGGUUGACAGGAGAGAGUGAGCACACGCCGGGGGUAAAUGGCAUGACGGGGUGCUGUUUCCGUUGCGUGCUCAAAUCUCUUGUUGUCAACCUUUCGCUGUUAUUUCUUCUGUGAUCAUACUUGAAAAUGCGCUCCCCUCCCACCGGAGAAGAGAGAGAGAGAGAGAGGGAGGUGGAGAAAGAGAGUGAUUGAACGUGUCUAACGAGGCUGCCUUUUACUUCGUCAGUGUUUCGGCGGCCGCGUUGCGAUGUUUUGCUUUGCUUCGCUUCGCUGUCAGUCAUAUCCUAUCUGCCUAUCAGCUCGACGGAUUUGCGUGGGUGAAGAAGCGCGUGCUUAAUUGCCUCUCCGGUUUUCGCUCUUUCCUUUCAUUAAUGCUUAUAAAGUUCUAGAAAUUGGGAAAUUGUAGGAAUAAUCGCGUCUGUUGAAAAGGGAAGUAAGAGAGAGAGAGAGAGAGAGAGAGAGAGAGAGAGAGAGAGCGAUGGAUGAGGGAGUGGUAUUGUCCGUCUCUGCCCUGUUUGUAAUGAAGCCGGAGAGAGAGAAUAGAAAGAGUACAGUACUACACCUUGAAGCAGGCUGUGCCGCCUCACCGGAAGACACUGUUUGACCAAUUCCACUCUCCUUCUUGGUGUUCUCCCAUCUUUUCUGUCGUCCUUCUUGCUGGCUUUCCUUUCCUUUCCAUGUCUGUUGCCUGUUUCGGAUAGUGUUUGGAGCGUUUCAACAAAACAUGAAUUCAAGCUGUGAGGAUCCUUGGAGAGAAGGUGCUCCCGGAGGUUCAUGUCCACCAUCGUCCAUUCCCGACCAUCACACUGUUUUUUCUUUCGUUUGCGCUCGAGACCAUUUCCUCACCACCUUGAUGGGCUGUUGCUUUGUCAACUUGAACAAAGACUCACUCGCUGCUCUCGCCACGACUCCGACGAGCGGAAAGGGGUGAGCUUUGUUGCCCUUCCCCAUGCCUGAUCGAUUCAUCUCUACUAGCUUUUGUGGAAAGAAGCCAAUGAAUCAUCGCUGGUAUCUGUCAGGUACACUUAAUCUCCAUCUAGCUUUUGUUGCUUUAAUCUUUGCUAGGUUUGUGGUGGUGGUCACUUUGCUCCAUCAUUGCUGUGGUUUGUAUGUCGCAUUUUCUGUCGUCCUUCUUGCUUUUGCUUUCCUCUCCUUUCCUUGUCUCUUGCCUGUUGCGGAUAGGGUUUGGAGCGUUUCAACAAAACAUGGAUUCAAGCUGUGAGGAUCCGUGGAGAGAAGGUGCUCCCCGAGGUUCAUGCCCACCAUCGUCCAUUCCUGGCCAUCUAACUGUGUUUUCUUUCGUUUGCGCUCGAGACCAUUUCCUCACCACCUUGAUGGGCUGUUACUUUGCCAACUUGAACAAAGACUCGCUGCUCAACUGUGUUCUUCACCAGGACAUGUGGGAUGCGAGGCAUCAAAGAGUUACACUUGUAGGUUUGUCUUAGAAACUCGAUCAUGUUAACUCUACAUUUAGCAUAGAAGUCGAUCCAAACCUUUUUCCAAAGAAGAAGUUGGAUGGUUAUACAGGAAGAUAUUUAUCUUCUUUUUUUUUGCAUUGUGAAGACCUAUA